rnacentral:lncRNA from 1 species
AACCACCAACCCUACACAUGUCAAAGUGAUCCUAGUUACUGAUUUUUUUAUUUUUAUCCACAGAUGCUUGUCAUGAUGUGUAUGAAAAGAAGUUAAGUUGGAACAAGGAGGAAAAAGAAGUAUUUUGGGUUUUCAUGAGAAAAAUGAUUUGGAGCACUACCUGCAAGUGCUCUCAGAGGCCGCUUGAAGAAAGAAGAAAGGAUUGGGGUAAAGAUUUUCAUGGAGAUUUUUAUUUUCACAUGAUCAAUCGUCCAACUGAAGCAAUGCAUGGUACAGAGGUGUGGGAAACAUGGCAUGCAACCUUACAUAGACUAAGAUAAGUUUCCAUAUUUGUUAAAUUUGUUAAGCUUGUUAUGUUUGUUAAUUUUUUACAAAUACACUCAAUUUUAAAAAUUAUUGGUUUGUAAAUAAUUUUUAAUCAGAAAUCAGAAUAUGGAAUCAGACUGAAUCUUUUGAAAAACAUUAUCUGUUGUAACCAGCACGUUCAACUGCAGUCAUAAUUCAUGUCAUUCAACUGCUGCAACUUAUUCUUCUAGUUUUUCUAGCAUAUGGAUUUAACCCCUAUGCGUAAGUUUUCACAAUCAGUCAAGGUUAAAUUCAUCUUUGAUGUAAAACAGUUUUUUCAAUGAAGUGUUAAAAUUUGCUAGAUCUUUAAUGUGAUUAAUUAUGAAAUCUGAAGUUUUGAUAAUUUUUUCAUCAUCAGCACUGAUCUAAAAGUAGGGUUUUUUUAAGUCUCCAUCUCUGAAUACUUUGGCCUUACAUUUUCUUUUGAAAUAUUUCAUUUAAUGCACACAAUGUCUUGAAGGCUGCUGUCUUAUUCUCUACAUGGCUGAAGAAUUUUCAGGUUUGCUGAACUUAAAAUCAAACUUGUGCUGUACCAUGACACUGAUUUAUCUUAUUUUGUCUGGCUUGGCAUCUCACAUCAGAUCUGUACUUUAGGAAAAGAGACACAUAACACAACUUAAAGUUUGCUUCAAUCAAAGUAUGAAUUUCUGCAGUGAUGGCUUUGGAACACUUCUAGUUACUCUGUUUUUAUUUCAGUACUUUGAUAAAUAGUGCCAUAACUCUUCCUUCUUUUACUUCAUCUGAAUUUGUGCAUCAAAAAUGAUCUCAAAUGAUAAGGUCUCUCAGGCAGAUAAACCCAGCCCUUCCAAUCUAGGAAUAAAAAUCUUUUUUGCCUUUUAAGGUUUGUUUUU